UUUAAUAAAUAUUUAAAUUGUGCUGAAAAUUAAAUAAAAUCAAAUCCCAGACGAAUUAUCGGGAUUCAUUUAAUAAGUGUUUAGUUAUUUUAUGCCAGUGCCACGUGCCAGUGCGGCUAGUACCAAAUUAUCACCCUAUUAUGCAACCGGCUAUCUGGAGGCCGAAAUGGAUGAAAUAUGGGAAUUAACUAGUGCAGAGAUUCGACGCGGGAUCGCAAUCUUUUGAUAAAUAUUUUUGGAUUCGACGACAAGCCCCCUUUUCGCUACACGGAGAGAAAACUCCGGCGAAUUAUUUAUAAAUUUGUAACUAUAAGAAGUGCAAUUAUGUGAAUAUUGGCCUGCUGAAUUUUAUUCAAAGCUCAAAUCCCUUUUGUUAAUUAUGAAAUUAU